UACGUAGGGGGCAAGCGUUGUCCGGAUUUAUUGGGCGUAAAGAGCGUGUAGGCGGUUAGGUAGGUCCGUUGUGAAAACUCGAGGCUCAACCUCGAGACGCCGAUGGAAACCAUCUAACUAGAGUCCGGAAGAGGAGAGUGGAAUUCCUGGUGUAGCGGUGAAAUGCGUAGAUAUCUGGAGGAACACCGGUGGCGAAGGCGGCAUCCUGGACCGGUAUUGACGCUGAGGCGCGAAAGCCAGGGGAGCAAACGGG
rnacentral:rRNA from 1 species